AUGGCUAUAGCCAAGCGGUAAGGCAACGGAUUUUGAUUCCGUCAUUCCCUGGUUCGAUCCCAGGUAGCCCAG
rnacentral:tRNA from 1 species